rnacentral:rRNA from 1 species
GUCCAGACUCCUACGGGAGGCAGCAGUGGGGAAUAUUGCACAAUGGGGGGAACCCUGAUGCAGCGACGCCGCGUGGGUGAAGGAGCGUUUCGGCGCGUAAAGCCCUAUCGGCAGGGAAGAAGGAGGACGGUACCUGACUAAGAAGCCCCGGCUAACUACGUGCCAGCAGCCGCGGUAAUACGUAGGGGGCAAGCGUUAUCCGGAUUUACUGGGUGUAAAGGGGGCGCAGACGGCAGCGCAAGCCAGGAGUGAAAGCCCGGGGCUCAACCCCGGGACUGCAUUUGAAACUGUCAGGCUGGAGUGCAGGAGAGGUAAGUGGAAUUCCUAGUGUAGCGGUGAAAUGCGUAGAUAUUAGGAGGAACACCAGUGGCGAAGGCGGCUUACUGGACUGUAACUGACGUUGAGGCUCGAAAGCGUGGGGAGCAAACAGGAUUAGAUACCCUUGUAC